rnacentral:rRNA from 1 species
AAUCUUGCUCAAUGGGCGAAAGCCUGACGCAGCCAUGCCGCGUGAAUGAUGAAGGUCUUAGGAUUGUAAAAUUCUUUCACCGGCGACGAUAAUGACGUUACCCGGAGACGAACCCCCGGCUAACUUCGUGCCAGCAGCCGCGGUAAUACGAAGGGGGCUAGCGUUGCUCGGAAUUACUGGGCGCAAAGGGCGCGUAGGCGGAUCGUUAAGUCAGGGGUGAAAUCCCGGGGCUCAACCUCGGAACUGCCCUUGAUACUGGCGAUCUUGAGUAUGAGAGAGGUAUGUGGAGCUCCGAGUGUAGAGGUGAAAUUCGUAGAUAUUCGGAAGAACACCAGUGGCGAAGGCGACAUACUGGCUCAUUACUGACGCUGAGGCGCGAAAGCGUGGGGAGCAAACA